AGGGACAUGGCUCAGUGGUAGAGGGUUUGCUUGACAUGUACAAGGCUGUGGGUUCAACUCCUAAUGCCCCCC
rnacentral:tRNA from 1 species